rnacentral:misc_RNA from 1 species
GAUGAAGAACGUAGCGAAAUGCGAUAAGUAAUGUGAAUUGCAGAAUUCAGUGAAUCAUCGAAUCUUUGAACGCACCUUGCGCUCCUUGGUAUUCCGAGGAGCAUGCCUGUUUGAGUGUCAUGAAACUCUCACCCUCUAGCUUUCUUAAUCGUGGCUAGCGGCGUGGACGUGAGCGCUGCUGCUUUAUUGCGGCUCGCUCGAAAUGUAUUAGCAGACCCUUUUCGUAAUCGGUUCCACUCAACGUGAUAAGUAUUUCGUUGAGGACAGUUGCAGCAAUGCGGCUGGCCGGGAUAAGAAAGGUAUAGUUGUCAGCUUCUAAUCGCCCUUGGGCAAUUUUUUAUGAUCUGACCUCAAAUCAGGUAGGACUACCCGCUGAACUUAAGCAUAUCAAUAAGCGGAGGA